rnacentral:rRNA from 1 species
AGAGAAUAGAUACCCGGGUAGUCCACGCCGUAAACUAUGGACGCUAGCUGUUAGAAGUAUCGACCCUUCUAGUAGCGAAAGCUAAACGCGUUAAGCGUCCCGCCUGUGGAGUACGAGCGCAAGCUUAAAACAUAAAGGAAUUGACGGGGACCCGCACAAGCGGUGGAGCGUGUUGUUUAAAUUCGAUGCUAAGCGAAGAACCUUACCCAGGUUUGACAUCCUGCUAAUUUCUCCGAAAGGAGAGAGUGCCUUCGGGCCGCAGUGACAGGUGUUGCAUGGCCGUCGUCAGCUCGUGUCGUGAGAUGUUUGGUUAAGUCCAUCAACGAGCGCAACCCUUUUGUUUAGUUGUAUUUCUCUAAACAGACUGCCCUGGUAAC